GAUGAACGCUGGCGGUAUGCUUAACACAUGCAAGUCGAACGGACUCUUCGGAGUUAGUGGCGGACGGGUGAGUAACGCGUGAGAAUCUGCCUUUGGGUUCGGGACAACCACUGGAAACGGUGGCUAAUACCGGAUGUGCCGAGAGGUAAAAGAGAAAUUGCCUGAAGAUGAGCUGUCGUCUGAUUAGCUAGUUGGUGAGGUAAAGGCUCACCAAGCCAGCGAUCAGUAGCUGGGCUGAGGGGAUGACCAGCCACACGGGGACUGAGACACGGCCGAGACUACUACGGGAGGCAGCAGUGGGGAAUUUUCCGCAAUGGGCGAGAGCCUGACGGAGCACUACCGCGUGAGGGAAGAAGGCUCUUGGGUUGUAAAGCUCUUUUCUUAGGGAAGAACAAAAUGACGGUACCUAAGGAAUAAGCAUCGGCUAACUCCGUG
rnacentral:rRNA from 1 species